GAAAUGCGAUAAGUAAUGUGAAUUGCAGAAUUCCGUGAAUCAUCGAAUCUUUGAACGCACAUUGCGCCCUCUGGUAUUCCGGGGGGCAUGCCUGUCCGAGCGUCAUUGCGAACCCCUCAAGCACGGCUUGUGUGAUGGGCCCUCCCGCGUCUUGGUCGUCAAGACGGGCCCGAAAUGCAGUGGCGGCUUCGCGGUUAUCCGAUCAGCCAGAGCGUAUGGGGACUUUCUCUCUGUCACACGCCCGCGGCGCGGACCGACGCCUGUCGACCUUCCUUCAUCGUUUUCUCGGUUGACCUCGGAUCAGGUAGGGAUACCCGCUGAACUUAA
rnacentral:misc_RNA from 1 species